GAAUAUUGGACAAUGGGCGAAAGCCUGAUCCAGCCAUGCCGCGUGGAUGAUGAAGGCCCUAGGGUUGUAAAAUCCUUUCGUUGGGGACGAUGAUGACGGUACCCAAAGAAGAAGCUCCGGCUAACUUCGUGCCAGCAGCCGCGGUAAUACGAAGGGGGCUAGCGUUGUUCGGAUUUACUGGGCGUAAAGCGCGUGUAGGCGGGCUGGAAAGUUGGGGGUGAAAUCCCGAGGCUCAACCUCGGAACUGCCUCCAAAACUUCCAGCCUGGACUCAAGCAGAGGCAAGUGGAAUUGCGAGUGUAGAGGUGAAAUUCGUAGAUAUUCGCAGGAACACCAGUGGCGAAGGCGACUUGCUGGGCUUGUAGUGACGCUGAGACGCGAAAGCGUGGGGAGCAAACAGG
rnacentral:rRNA from 1 species